GUGUUCGUCGAUGGGAGAGACUGUUGGCUACUCCCCGAACAGUGACGAGAUAGGCCUUACAGCUAUUUUUGUUACCGUGCACAUUCGUCGGUUAAGGCAAACCGCUUAGGCGGAUCUUACCCAUUUUUAUAU